rnacentral:misc_RNA from 1 species
GAUGAAGAACGCAGCGAAAUGCGAUAAGUAGUGUGAAUUGCAGAAUUCAGUGAAUCAUCGAAUCUUUGAACGCACAUUGCGCCCCUUGGUAUUCCAUGGGGCAUGCCUGUUCGAGCGUCAUUUGUACCUUCAAGCUCUGCUUGGUGUUGGGUGUUUGUCUCGCCUCUGCGCGUAGACUCGCCUCAAAACAAUUGGCAGCCGGCGUAUUGAUUUCGGAGCGCAGUACAUCUCGCGCCUUGCACUCAUAACGACGACGUCCAAAAGUACAUUUUUACACUCUUGACCUCGGAUCAGGUAGGGAUACCCGCUGAACUUAAGCAUAUCAAUAAGCCGGAGGA